rnacentral:tRNA from 2 species
GGGCUGGUGGUAAAGUGGUAUUACGCUCCCUUGGCAUGGGAGAGGCCGCGGGUUCAAUUCCCGCCCAGUCCA